rnacentral:rRNA from 1 species
GUAACACGUAGUCAACAUGCCCAGGGGACGUGGAUAACCUCGGGAAACUGAGGAUAAACCGCGAUAGGUCACUACUUUUGGAAUGGGUAAUGACUCAAACCUAUAUGGCCCCUGGAUUGGACUGCGGCCGAUCAGGCUGUUGAUGAGGUAAUGGCCCACCAAACCUGUAACCGGUACGGGCUCUGAGAGGAGGAGCCCGGAGAUGGGCACUGAGACAAGGGCCCAGGCCCUAUGGGGCGCAGCAGGCGCGAAACCUCUGCAAUAGGCGAAAGCCUGACAGGGUUACUCUGAGUGAUCUCCGUUAAGGAGAUCUUUUGGCACCUCUAAAAAUGGUGCAGAAUAAGGGGUGGGCAAGUCUGGUGUCAGCCGCCGCGGUAAUACCAGCACCCCGAGUGGUCGGGACGUUUAUUGGGCCUAAAGCAUCCGUAGCCGGUUCUACAAGUCUUCCGUUAAAUCCAGCUGCUUAACAGAUGGGCUGCGGAAGAUACUAUGGAGCU